CUACGGGUUGCAGCAGUGGGGAAUAUUGCACAAUGGAGGAAACUCUGAUGCAGCAACGCCGCGUGGAGGAUGACACUUUUCGGAGCGUAAACUCCUUUUAUAUAGGAAGAAGAUGACGGUACUAUAUGAAUAAGCGCCGGCUAACUCCGUGCCAGCAGCCGCGGUAUACGGAGGGCGCAAGCGUUACUCGGAAUCACUGGGCGUAAAGAGCGUGUAGGCGGAUUAAAAAGUCAGAAGUGAAAUCCUAUAGCUUAACUAUAGAACUGCUUCUGAAACUCUUAAUCUAGAAUAUGGGAGAGGUAGAUGGAAUUUCUGGUGUAGGGGUAAAAUCCGUAGAGAUCAGAAGGAAUACCGAUUGCGAAGGCGAUCUACUAGAACAUUAUUGACGCUGAGACGCGAAAGCGUGGGGAGCAAACAGGAUUAGAUACCCCCGUAGUC
rnacentral:rRNA from 1 species